GAUGAACGCUGGCGGCGUGCCUAAUACAUGCAAGUCGAGCGAACAGAUGAGGAGCUUGCUCCUCUGACGUUAGCGGCGGACGGGUGAGUAACACGUGGAUAACCUACCUAUAAGACUGGGAUAACUUCGGGAAACCGGAGCUAAUACCGGAUAAUAUAUUGAACCGCAUGGUUCAAUAGUGAAAGACGGUUUUGCUGUCACUUAUAGAUGGAUCCGCGCCGCAUUAGCUAGUUGGUAGGGUAACGGCUUACCUAGGCAACGAUGCGUAGCCGACCUGAGAGGGUGAUCGGCCACACUGGAACUGAGACACGGUCCAGACUCCUACGGGAGGCAGCAGUAGGGAAUCUUCCGCAAUGGGCGAAAGCCUGACGGAGCAACGCCGCGUGAGUGAUGAAGGUCUUCGGAUCGUAAAACUCUGUUAUUAGGGAAGAACAAAUGUGUAAGUAACUAUGCACGUCUUGACGGUACCUAAUCAGAAAGCCACGGCUAACUACGUG
rnacentral:rRNA from 1 species